rnacentral:rRNA from 1 species
CUACACAUGCAAGUCGAACGGUAACAUGGAUUGCUUGCAAUCUGAUGACGAGUGGCGCACGGGUGCGUAACGCGUAUGCAAUCUACCUUUUACAGGAGAAUAGCCCAGAGAAAUUUGGAAUAAUGCUCCAUAAUAUCAUUUAUCAGCAUUGGUUUAUGAUUAAAGCUCCGGCGGUAAAAGAUGAGCAUGCGUUCUAUUAGCUAGUAGGUGAGGUAACGGCUCACCUAGGCUACGAUAGAUAGGGGCCCUGAGAGGGGGAUCCCCCACACUGGUACUGAGACACGGACCAGACUCCUACGGGAGGCAGCAGUGAGGAAUAUUGGACAAUGGAGGAAACUCUGAUCCAGCCAUGCCGCGUGCAGGAUGACUGCCCUAUGGGUUGUAAACUGCUUUUAUAUAGGAAGAAACACUCCCACGUGUGGGGGCUUGACGGUACUAUAUGAAUAAGGAUCGGCUAACUCCGUGCCAGCAGCCGCGGUAAUACGGAGGAUCCAAGCGUUAUCCGGAAUCAUUGGGUUUAAAGGGUCCGCAGGCGGCCUGUUAAGUCAGAGGUGAAAUCCUACAGCUCAACUGUAGAACUGCCUUUGAUACUGAUAGGCUUGAGUUAUUGUGAAGUGGUUAGAAUGUGUGGUGUAGCGGUGAAAUGCUUAGAUAUCACACAGAAUACCCAUUGCGAAGGCAGAUCACUAACAAUAUACUGACGCUCAUGGACGAAAGCGUGGGGAGCGAACAGGAUUAGAUACCCUGUUAGUCCACGCCGUAAACGAUGGAUACUAACUGUU